rnacentral:rRNA from 1 species
UACGUAGGUGGCAAGCGUUAUCCGGAAUUACUGGGCGUAAAGCGCACGCAGGCGGUCUUGUAAGUUUGACGUGAAAGCUCCCGGCUUAAUUGGGAGAGGUCGUUGAAGACUGCAAGACUUGAGGAAAUGAGAGGGGUGUAGAAUUCCCGGUGUAGUGGUGGAAUGCGUAGAUAUCGGGAGGAACACCAGUGGCGAAGGCGGCUACCUGGCCCACUCUUGACGCUGAGGCGCGAAAGCUAGGGGAGCAAACGGG